CCUACGGGAGGCAGCAGUGAGGAAUAUUGGUCAAUGGCCGGAAGGCUGAACCAGCCAAGUCGCGUGAGGGACGACUGCCCUAUGGGUUGUAAACCUCUUUUAUAAGGGAAGAAUAAAUGCUACGUGUAGCAUGAUGCCUGUACCUUAUGAAUAAGCAUCGGCUAACUCCGGGCCAGCAGCCGCGGUAAGACGGAGGAUGCGAGCGUUAUCCGGAUUUAUUGGGUUUAAAGGGUGCUGAGGCGGUUUUUUAAGUUAGUGGUAAAAUCGCGGGGCUCAACCUCGCUCCGCCGUCGAAACUGGCGUUCUUGAGUGGGCGAGAAGUAUGCGGAAUGCGUGGUGUAGCGGUGAAAUGCAUAGAUAUCACGCAGAACUCCGAUUGCGAAGGCAGCAUACCGGCGCCCAACUGACGCUGAAGCACGAAAGCGUGGGUAUCGAACAGGAUUAGAUACCCUUGUAGUC
rnacentral:rRNA from 1 species